GUAGGUGGCAAGCGUUGUCCGGAAUUAUUGGGCGUUAAGCGCGCGCAGGCGGUUCUUUAAGUCUGAUGUGAAAGCCCACGGCUCAACCGUGGAGGGUCAUUGGAAACUGGAGAACUUGAGUACAGAAGAGGAAAGCGGAAUUCCACGUGUAGCGGUGAAAUGCGUAGAGAUGUGGAGGAACACCAGUGGCGAAGGCGGCUUUCUGGUCUGUAGCUGACGCUGAGGCGCGAAAGCGUGGGGAGCAAACAGGAUUAGAUACCCUGGUAGUCCACGCCGUAAACGAUGAGUGCUAAGUGUUAGGGGGUUUCCGCCCCCCUUAGUGCUGCAGCUAACGCAUUAAGCACUCCGCCUGGGAGUACGGCCGCAAGGCUG
rnacentral:rRNA from 1 species